GUGUAAAAUGGCGUGUGUUAAAACAUAAUUUUUAAGCAUUAUUUUACAAAUAAAGCAAAUUAGCUCGACUUUUAUUUGCGGCUCUCUUGACAAGGUGUUGUGCCAAGUAAAUCCUGCAGGCUGGCCGUUUAAUAGAGGUAAAAAUUGACAUAAAACAUCAUUUGGGACCGCUCUUUGGGUGGCCGCGGCCGCUUAAUAGAGGUGGCCGUUUAAUAGAG